CUAAGAAUAUUCCGCAAUGGACGGAAGUCUGACGGAGCGACGCCGCGUGGAUGACGAAGGCCGAAAGGUUGUAAAGUUCUUUUGCUGGGGAAGAAUAACCGCAGGAGGGAAUGCCUGUGGGAUGACAAGAACCGGCGAAUAAGCCCCGGCCAACUACGUGCCAGCAGCCGCGGUAACACGUAGGGGGCGAGCGUUGUUCGGAAUUACUGGGCGUAAAGGGCAUGUAGGCGGCUUGGAAAGCCUGGCGUGAAAGUCUGCAGCUUAACUGCAGGGGUGCGCUGGGAACUGCUGAGCUUGAGUGACGGAGAGGGAGCUGGAAUUCCUGGUGUUGGGGUGAAAUCUGUAGAUAUCAGGAAGAACACCGAUGGCGAAGGCAAGCUCCUGGCCGAUGACUGACGCUGAGGUGCGAAAGUGUGGGGAUCAAACA
rnacentral:rRNA from 1 species